GAUGAACGCUGGCGGCGUGCCUAAUACAUGCAAGUCGAGCGAACAGACGAGGAGCUUGCUCCUCUGACGUUAGCGGCGGACGGGUGAGUAACACGUGGAUAACCUACCAAUAAGACUGGGAUAACUUCGGGAAACCGGAGCUAAUACCGGAUAAUAUAUUGAACCGCAUGGUUCAAUAGUGAAAGACGGUUUUGCUGUCACUUAUAGAUGGAUCCGCGCCGCAUUAGCUAGUUGGUAAGGUAACGGCUUACCAAGGCAACGAUGCGUAGCCGACCUGAGAGGGUGGUCGACCACACUGGAACAGACCCCCGGUCCAGCCUCCUACGGGAGGCAGCAGUGGGGAUUCCUCCUCAAGGGGCGAAAGCCUGAGGGAGCAACCCCGCGGGAGGAAUAAAGUUUUUGGGAUCUUAAACCUCUUUUAUGGGGAAAAAACAAAUGUGUAAGUAACUAUGCACGUCUUGACGGUACCUAAUCAGAAAGCCCCGCCUAACUACGUC
rnacentral:rRNA from 1 species